rnacentral:tRNA from 1 species
GCCCAGAUAGCUCAGUCGGUAGAGCAGGGGACUGAAAAUUCCCGUGUCGGUGGUUCGAUUCCGCCUCUGGGCACCA